UACGUAGGGUCCGAGCGUUGUCCGGAGUUACUGGGCGUAAGGCGCGCGCAGGCGGCGGUGUAAGCAUGGCGUGAAAGCCCCAGGCUCAACCUGGGAGGGUCGUCGUGGACUGCACCGCUUGAGGGCGGUAGGGGCUGGUGGAAUGCCUGGUGUAGUGGUGAAAUGCGUAGAGAUCAGGCGGAACACCCGUGGCGAAGGCGGCCAGCUGGGCCGUCCCUGACGCUGAGGCGCGAAGGCGUGGGGAGCGAACAGG
rnacentral:rRNA from 1 species